AAUUUAAUUGUGCGAUUCAAUUUAAUUUGAUAAUUAUUAACUUACUUUUUAUUUUUUCUUGCUUUG
rnacentral:tRNA from 1 species